rnacentral:rRNA from 1 species
UACGUAGGGUGCGAGCGUUGUCCGGAAUUAUUGGGCGUAAAGAGCUCGUAGGCGGUUUGUCGCGUCGAACUGUGAAAACCUACAGCUUAACUGUGGGCUUGCAGUCGAUACGGGCAGACUUGAGUUCGGUAGGGGAGACUGGAAUUCCUGGUGUAGCGGUGAAAUGCGCAGAUAUCAGGAGGAACACCGGUGGCGAAGGCGGGUCUCUGGGCCGAUACUGACGCUGAGGAGCGAAAGCGUGGGGAGCGAACAGG